rfam:Bifidobacterium actinocoloniiforme DSM 22766 Contig2, whole genome shotgun sequence.
GGCGGAUUUCCCAAGCGGUCAAAGGGAGCUGACUGUAAAUCAGCCGCGUAAUGCUUCAGUGGUUCGAAUCCACUAUCCGCCA